GCGGUUUUAUAAAAUCCCAUUCUUUUUUUCCCCCUUCUUUUUCCCCUGAAAUCUUUUUCUUUUUUCCCCAUUUUUUUUUUCCCAAACCAUUUCUCCUUUAUUUUUUUGCCCCCAAUUUCCCCAAAUCGACAGCCCUCUGCAUUUCCGUUGUCCCGCCCAUUUUCGCAACCUCGACUUCGGUGAAUGAAACGACUACCUCAAAGGCGUCAUCACCGAUGUU
rnacentral:lncRNA from 1 species